rnacentral:tRNA from 1 species
GAAAAUUUAGUUUAUUAAAAAUAAAUGUUUUGAAAGCAUUAGUAGGGAGAUCCCAAUUUUUA